rnacentral:rRNA from 1 species
AGGCUUUGAAGUGUGGACGCCAGUCUGCAUGGAGCCGGCCUUGAAAUACCACCCUUUAAUGUUUGAUGUUCUAACGUGGACCCGUGAUCCGGGUUGCGGACAGUGUCUGGUGGGUAGUUUGACUGGGGCGGUCUCCUCCUAAAGAGUAACGGAGGAGCACGAAGGUUGGCUAAUCCUGGUCGGACAUCAGGAGGUUAGUGCAAUGGCAUAAGCCAGCUUGACUGCGAGCGUGACGGCGCGAGCAGGUGCGAAAGCAGGUCAUAGUGAUCCGGUGGUUCUGAAUGGAAGGGCCAUCGCUCAACGGAUAAAAGGUACUCCGGGGAUAACAGGCUGAUACCGCCCAAGAGUUCAUAUCGACGGCGGUGUUUGGCACCUCGAUGUCGGCUCAUCACAUCCUGGGGCUGAAGUAGGUCCCAAGGGUAUGGCUGUUCGCCAUUUAAAGUGGUACGCGAGCUGGGUUUAGAACGUCGUGAGACAGUUC